rnacentral:rRNA from 57 species
AAAACGACUCUCGGCAACGGAUAUCUCGGCUCUCGCAUCGAUGAAGAACGUAGCGAAAUGCGAUACUUGGUGUGAAUUGCAGAAUCCCGUGAACCAUCGAGUCUUUGAACGCAAGUUGCGCCCCAAGCCUUCUGGCCGAGGGCACGUCUGCCUGGG